GCAUUAAUGGGGUAGUGGUAACCUGGGUCGUUGCCAUUGUGUUGUAUUCGACCCGCCGGGGGUUCGAUUCCCUCUUAAUGCA
rnacentral:tRNA from 2 species